UGAAUGCGAGUGACCGCUAACCAACUCCAGUUGCCUUAGGCAAGAAACAGAAUUUACAUACUUGGAUAGCUCAAGAACCUACUAACAUAAAUAAUGUCAGACAUAGCUGGGUCUCGGGGCUGAAACCACUGUCAUCAGGAUUGGACCUCUCUCCCAUUUUUGUCUCUGUCUUCCAAUCUGUUGACUUAACUUUAAGCCGUCAGCAGCUUCAGGCUUGUCUCCUCUUCACUACCUGCAACUUCAGCAGAAAAAGGACUUACCUUUCCCUCUACUUCUCCGUGUCUCAUUUGCCUCUUCGGUUCUGGAAUGAUCACUAGUCACUAGUCACUGUGGAGAAGGUGAUGCUUUUAGCAAAGCCUGAGCCACAUGCCCAGCCCUGGAGCCAGGGAGACAAUUAGCCAUGCAGGGAACAGAGUGUGGCAGCAAGAAUUCUCUGGAGGGAACUUGGGGUGCCGCUGCGAGGAGUGGGCUGGCGAGAAGCACUUCCACUCGUGACAUGCAGCGAUUGUUUUCUUUGCUAUCUUUAUGCAGGACAGUUUGGGAGACAGGGAGCUACCAAAAUGAACAUGACACAGCCCUUCCCUUCACCCCAGGACUUUGUGCUCUAGCGUAGGAUCAGAGGUUUAUGGUCAAGGGAAAGUUAAAUAAGACAUCCAAGCAAAUGUGGCUGUGACAGCCUGAUGGGUGACUGCUUCAUCCUGUUCACUGUCCAGUUGCUGGGUGGUAGCUGAGGUUUGACUAUCUACCCUUCCCAGAAACAGCAUUUCCUCCUCCUUGAUGCCAUCACCAUCACCACCUGUCAGAAAGCUCCUUUCCACAGACUUAAGGAGUAGUUUUCUGCACCCUCUAGCGUCUGCGUAACCCUUCAGUGUUCAAGUGAAACUUCAACCCUAUAAGCUUUCCAACUCAAGUUCUACCUUGGUUUUCUGCUCCAGUCUGUCUCCAGAUGACCAGCUGUGUGGUACCAGGGUCACAGUCCCAGAGCUGGGAAGACUAAUGAGAAGAAGGAGGUGACUGAUCUAAGACCACACACACAUCGUCAGCAUGAUACCCACCUAUGUGGCACUCACAGAGAUUUCUGAGUGGACCGAAAAAUGGACCACACUGUUCACGAGAAGCAGAGGAAGGGCGAUCUCUCCCUUCGUGAUGGCAGAGGAGAAAGGAGGAUCUGAGCAUGGUUCCUGGAAUUCUACAGCCAGGCUUCAGCAGGCGUCAGUCACCAUGUAGGUCAGGCUGAGUGGACACUGGUCAUACGUUUGUCUUCUCCACUAGACGGUCUUAUACAUCUUGGCAUGCCCAGGGCCUGGCAGAGAGUACACGCCAAAUAAAUACUUGAGAAAUAAAUGGAAGAUGACUUCUCAGACCUUGUUAAGGAUGGGAUGGUGUACUUGUUUCAUGGCUGUGCGAUUCAUCACAGAAGCAAAGUUGUUGCAGGAUGAUAAUUACAGCUCCUAGGUACCACGUUUAGUGUUGGAUCCCCAUGCGUGGCACAGAGUGGGUGUUGAGUAAACAUUGAAUGAAUGAAUGGAUGAGUGAAACUUCUCAAUCCCUCAUGUAUAAGUUAGAUUCACGCUCUUCCAAAAAAAAAAAAAAAGUAGUUAAUUCUUUGGAACCCAAGAAUGCAGAAGUGUGGCUCCACCUAGUGGACAC